rnacentral:misc_RNA from 1 species
UUUGGCUUUAACAUUCUUUGCUGGAGUUUGUUUUUCUCUCUUCUCUCCAGCUUUCAACCUUGCCACAAAUGAUCAGUGGCAUACGCUAAAAGAUGGAGUCCCACACUUGAGCGUCUACACAGCAUUCUUCUACUUCUCAGUUUCUUGCUUUGUCGUUGCCUUGAUUCUUAACCUCAUAUUCUUAUACCGUCCUGUUUUAAAUGCACCCAAGUCAUCCCUAAAGGCUUAUAUUAACGACUGGAACGGUAGAGGUUGGGCACUUUUGGCAGGACUUUUGUGUGGUUUUGGAAACGGUCUACAAUUCAUGGGAGGUCAAGCAGCUGGAUACGCAGCUGCAGAUGCUGUUCAGGCGCUGCCUCUGGUGAGCACAUUUUGGGGGGUAAUUUUGUUCGGAGAGUAUCGAAGA